rnacentral:rRNA from 1 species
GAAGAGGGAAACAACCCAGACCGCCAGCUAAGGUCCCAAAGUCAUGGUUAAGUGGGAAACGAUGUGGGAAGGCACAGACAGCCAGGAUGUUGGCUUAGAAGCAGCCAUCAUUUAAAGAAAGCGUAAUAGCUCACUGGUCGAGUCGGCCUGCGCGGAAGAUGUAACGGGGCUAAACCAUGCACCGAAGCUGCGGCAGCGACACUAUGUGUUGUUGGGUAGGGGAGCGUUCUGUAAGCCUGCGAAGGUGUGCUGUGAGGCAUGCUGGAGGUAUCAGAAGUGCGAAUGCUGACAUAAGUAACGAUAAAGCGGGUGAAAAGCCCGCUCGCCGGAAGACCAAGGGAUCCUGUCCAACGUUAAUCGGGGCAGGGUGAGUCGACCCCUAAGGCGAGGCCGAAAGGCGUAGUCGAUGGGAAACAGGUUAAUAUUCCUGUACUUGGUGUUACUGCGAAGGGGGGACGGAGAAGGCUAUGUUAGCCGGGCGACGGUUGUCCCGGUUUAAGCAUGUAGGCUGGUUGUCCAGGCAAAUCCGGAUAAUCAAGGCUGAGGUGUGAUGACGAGGCACUACGGUGCUGAAGUAACAAAUGCCCUGCUUCCAGGAAAAGCCUCUAAGCAUCAGGUAACAUCAAAUCGUACCCCAAACCGACACAGGUGGUCAGGUAGAGAAUACCAAGGCGCUUGAGAGAACUCGGGUGAAGGAACUAGGCAAAAUGGUGCCGUAACUUCGGGAGAAGGCACGCUGGUGUGUAGGUGAAGUCCCUGCGGAUGGAGCUGAGACCAGUCGAAGAUACCAGCUGGCUGCAACUGUUUAUUAAAAACACAGCACUGUGCAAACACGAAAGUGGACGUAUACGGUGUGACGCCUGCCCGGUGCCGGAAGGUUAAUUGAUGGGGUUAUCCGUAAGGAGAAGCUCUUGAUCGAAGCCCCGGUAAACGGCGGCCGUAACUAUAACGGUCCUAAGGUAGCGAAAUUCCUUGUCGGGUAAGUUCCGACCUGCACGAAUGGCGUAAUGAUGGCCAGGCUGUCUCCACCCGAGACUCAGUGAAAUUGAACUCGCUGUGAAGAUGCAGUGUACCCGCGGCAAGACGGAAAGACCCCGUGAACCUUUACUAUAGCUUGACACUGAACAUUGAGCCUUGAUGUGUAGGAUAGGUGGGAGGCUUUGAAGCGUGGACGCCAGUCUGCGUGGAGCCAACCUUGAAAUACCACCCUUUAAUGUUUGAUGUUCUAACGUUGGCCCCUUACCGGGGUUGCGGACAGUGUCUGGUGGGUAGUUUGACUGGGGCGGUCUCCUCCCAAAGCGUAACGGAGGAGCACGAAGGUUAGCUAAUCCUGGUCGGACAUCAGGAGGUUAGUGCAAUGGCAUAAGCUAGCUUGACUGCGAGCGUGACGGCGCGAGCAGGUGCGAAAGCAGGUCAUAGUGAUCCGGUGGUUCUGAAUGGAAGGGCCAUCGCUCAACGGAUAAAAGGUACUCCGGGGAUAACAGGCUGAUACCGCCCAAGAGUUCAUAUCGACGGCGGUGUUUGGCACCUCGAUGUCGGCUCAUCACAUCCUGGGGCUGAAGUAGGUCCCAAGGGUAUGGCUGUUCGCCAUUUAAAGUGGUACGCGAGCUGGGUUUAGAACGUCGUGAGACAGUUCGGUCCCUAUCUGCCGUGGGCGCUGGAGAAUUGAGGGGGGCUGCUCCUAGUACGAGAGGACCGGAGUGGACGCAUCACUGGUGUUCGGGUUGUCAUGCCAAUGGCACUGCCCGGUAGCUAAAUGCGGAAGAGAUAAGUGCUGAAAGCAUCUAAGCACGAAACUUGCCCCGAGAUGAGUUCUCCCUGAGACUUUAAGUCUCCUGAAGGAACGUUGAAGACGACGACGUUGAUAGGCCGGGUGUGUAAGCGCAGCGAUGCGUUGAGCUAACCGGUACUAAUGAACCGUGAGGCUUAACCUU